rnacentral:rRNA from 1 species
GAUGAACGCUGGCGGCUUGCCUAAUACAUGCAAUUCGAGCGAACAGACGAGGAGCUUGCUCCUCUGACGUUAGCGGCGGACGGGUGAGUAACACGUGGAUAACCUACCUAUAAGACUGGGAUAACUUCGGGAAACCGGAGCUAAUACCGGAUAAUAUAUUGAACCGCAUGGUUCAAUAGUGAAAGCCGGUUUUGCUGUCACUUAUAGAUGUAUCCGCGCCGCAUUAGCUAGUUGGUAAGGUAACGGCUUACCAAGGCAACGAUGCGUAGCCGACCUGAGAGGGUGAUCGGCCACACUGGAACUGAGACACGGUCCAGACUCCUACGGGAGGCAGCAGUAGGGAAUCUUCCGCAAUGGGCGAAAGCUUGACGGAGCAACGCCGCGUGAGUGAUGAAGGUCUUCGGAUCGUAAAACUCUGUUAUUAGGGAAGAACAAAUGUGUAAGUAACUAUGCACGUCUUGACGGUACCUAAUCAGAAAGCCACGGCUAACUACGUG